UAAUAAUGAUGAUGAUGAUGAUGAUGAGGAUCAUCAUCAUCAUCAUUUAUU
rnacentral:pre_miRNA from 1 species